rnacentral:ncRNA from 1 species
AAGCACAAGGGGAGCCGAAAGGCUGAGAGUGGAUUCGAUCCUGACCCAUAACCUGAUUUGGAUAAUGCCAACGUAGGGAAAUAGGCCU